rnacentral:lncRNA from 1 species
CACAUGGAUCACCCUGGCCCAGGGUUUGCUAAAUUGAAAUACACUGAUGCAUAUCUCCUACUAAUUCGUAGGGGUCAAUCCCAUCUUGACUCACACACUGACUUGACAAUUACUUGACUGUACCCAAAAAAUCUUUCAUCAUUGAAUUGAAAACUUAAUUAAUCUAGUACUAAAGUAUAGUGAGUUGCUUGUAAGUCACCGUGGUGAUCU